CCCUGGACUCCCAGCUCAGCCCACUCAGUGAUCAGGACUGAACACAGCUGCUCACCAUGGAGAGUGUGCUCAGCUGGGUUUUCCUGGUGGCUGUUUUCAAAGGUGUCCAGUGUGAAGUGCAGCUGGUGGAGUCUGGGGGAGGCCUGGUGCAGCCUGGGGGUUCCCUGCGACUCUCCUGUGCAGCCUCUGGAUUCACCUUCAGUAGCUACUGGAUGCACUGGGUCCGCCAGGCUCCAGGGAAGGGGCUGGUGUGGAUCUCAAGCAUUAGGUACGAUAGUAAUUCUAUAUACUAUGCCGACUCUGUGAAGGGCCGAUUCACCAUCUCCAGAGACAACUCCAAGAACACCCUGUACCUGCAAAUGAGCAGUCUGAGAGCAGAGGACACAGCCACCUAUUACUGUGCUAGAGACACAGUGAGGGGACCUCAGUGUGAGCCCAGACACAAACCUCCUGCAGGGCGACCAGGGCCAGCAGGGGGCGCUCAGCACACAGGGAGCCCAG